UUUACACAUGCAAGUCGAACGGCAGCGCGGGGCAACCUGGCGGCGAGUGGCGAACGGGUGAGUAAUAUAUCGGAACGUACCCAGAAGUGGGGGAUAACGUAGCGAAAGUUACGCUAAUACCGCAUACGAUCUACGGAUGAAAGUGGGGGACCUUCGGGCCUCAUGCUUGUGGAGCGGCCGAUAUCUGAUUAGCUAGUUGGUGAGGUAAAGGCUCACCAAGGCGACGAUCAGUAGCUGGUCUGAGAGGACGACCAGCCACACUGGGACUGAGACACGGCCCAGACUCCUACGGGAGGCAGCAGUGGGGAAUUUUGGACAAUGGGCGCAAGCCUGAUCCAGCAAUGCCGCGUGAGUGAAGAAGGCCUUCGGGUUGUAAAGCUCUUUUGUCAGGGAAGAAACGGCCGAGGCUCAUACCUUUGGCUAAUGACGGUACCUGAAGAAUAAGCACCGGCUAACUACGUGCCACAGCCGCGGUAAUACGUAGGGUGCAAGCGUUAAUCGGAAUUACUGGGCGUAAAGCGUGCGCAGGCGGUUUUGUAAGUCUGACGUGAAAUCCCCGAGCUUAACUUGUGAAUUGCGUUUGGAGACUGCAAGGCUAGAGUCUGGCCGAGGGGGGUAGAAUUCCACGUGUAGCAGUGAAAUGCGUAGAGAUGUGGAGGAACACCGAUGGCGUAGCAGCCCCCUGGGUUAAGACUGACGCUCAUGCACGAAACCGUGGGGAGCAAACCGGAUUAAUACCCUGGUAGUCCACGCCCUAACGAUGUCUACUAGUUGUCCGGGUUUUAAUUAACUUGGUAAUGCAGUUCACUGCGGGAAGUAAACCGCCUGGGG
rnacentral:rRNA from 1 species